UGAGGAACAUGACCUUCGGCGGGGGAUAGCCGGCCCAACGGCCGGGUAAUACCGCGUACGACCUUUCGGGGACAUCCCCGGAUGGUGAAAGCAGCAAUGCGCCGAUGGAGUGCCUCGCGGCCUAUCAGCUAGUUGGUGGGGUAACGGCUCACCAAGGCAACGACGGGUAGCUGGU
rnacentral:rRNA from 1 species